UCGCACUUCUCGGGUGCCGAUUUGCGACUAAAGUGUGAAUUAUCUCGCAAUAAUUGUUUACUUUAAGCUCUUAUUAAAACGAAAGCAAGAGUCGAGAGACCCGCUGCUGAGGUUCGUGAACGGACCGUCUGCUACAAGGUCUGGGAAUCAAGUUCUGCAGAAAAAGAAGAAAAGAAUGUAAAUAAGAAAAGCAGCACCAGCAAGCCAGCAUGAGAAAAAAGCAGAAAAGGAAUCCCCACAGGCUGCCUCGAAGGUCAAGAUAAGACUGGUUUAGUUUUAGCUCAGCUUCAUUUUCAUUAGUUAACUUAAGAUUUAGCUAGGAAAUUUUAAUGUUAUGAUAUGGCUGCUUCAUCAGCGUUGUAAAAUUCUUGUGAGAAGAAUAAAUUUUUAAAUAAUGUA